CCUACGGGUGGCAGCAGUGAGGAAUAUUGGUCAAUGGGCGGGAGCCUGAACCAGCCAAGCCGCGUGAAGGAAGAAGGCGCCAAGCGUCGUAAACUUCUUUUGUCGGGGAACAAAGGGCGCCACGUGUGGCGUUGUGAGUGUACCCGAAUAAAAAGCAUCGGCAAACCCCGUUCCAGCAGACGCGGUAAUACGGGGGAUGCGUGCUUUAUCCGGAUUUAUUGGGUUAAAAGGGUGCGUAGGCGGUCCGUAAAGUAAGCGGUAAAAGCGCGGGGCUCACACCCGGCGAGGCGUUGAAACUGUGGGACGAGAGAAGGCGAGAGGUACGCGGAAUGCGCGGUGUAGCGGUGAAAUGCAUAGAUAUCGCGCAGAACUCCGAUUGCGAAGGCAGCUUACCGGCGCCGAACUGACGCUGAGGCACGAAAGCGUGGGUAUCGAACAGGAUUAGAUACCCCGGUAGUC
rnacentral:rRNA from 1 species